rnacentral:rRNA from 1 species
UACGUAGGGCGCAAGCGUUAUCCGGAAUUACUGGGCGUAAAGGGCGCGUAGGCGGCCUGCUAAGUCGAACGUGAAAUCCCCGGGCUCAACCCGGGAACUGCGUCCGAUACUGGCAGGCUUGAAUCCGGGAGAGGGAUGCGGAAUUCCAGGUGUAGCGGUGAAAUGCGUAGAUAUCUGGAGGAACACCGGUGGCGAAGGCGGCAUCCUGGACCAACACUGACGCUGAGGAGCGAAAGCCAGGGGAGCAAACGGG